GACGAACGCUGGCGGCGUGCCUAAUACAUGCAAGUAGAACGCUGAAGGAGGAGCUUGCUUCUCUGGAUGAGUUGCGAACGGGUGAGUAACGCGUAGGUAACCUGCCUGGUAGCGGGGGAUAACUAUUGGAAACGAUAGCUAAUACCGCAUAAGAGUAGAUGUUGCAUGACAUUUGCUUAAAAGGUGCAAUUGCAUCACUACCAGAUGGACCUGCGUUGUAUUAGCUAGUUGGUGGGGUAACGGCUCACCAAGGCGACGAUACAUAGCCGACCUGAGAGGGGGAUCGGCCGCACUGGGACUGAGACACGGCCCAGACUCCUUCGGGCGGCAGCAGGAGGGAAUCUUCGGCAAUGGGCGGAAGUCUGACCGAGCAACGCCGCGUGGGUGGAGAAGGUUUUCGGUUCGUAAAGCUCUGUUGUAAGAGAAGAACGAGUGUGAGAGUGGAAAGUUCACACUGUGACGGUAUCUUACCAGAAAGGGCCGGCUAACUACGUG
rnacentral:rRNA from 1 species